GGGGGUGUAGCUCAGCUGGGAGAGCGCAGCGUUCGCAACGCUGAGGUCGCGAGUUCGAAUCUCGUCGUCUCCA
rnacentral:tRNA from 2 species